UACGGAGGAUCCAAGCGUUAUCCGGAAUCAUUGGGUUUAAAGGGUCCGUAGGCGGGUCAAUAAGUCAGUGGUGAAAGCCUGCAGCUCAACUGUAGAAUUGCCAUUGAUACUGUUGACCUUGAGUAAUUAUGAAGAGGUUAGAAUAUGUAGUGUAGCGGUGAAGUGCAUAGAUAUGACAUAGAAUACCGAUUGCGAAGGCAGAUCACUGAUAUUUCACUGACGCUGAUGGGCGAAAGCGUAGGUAGCGAACAGG
rnacentral:misc_RNA from 1 species